rnacentral:rRNA from 1 species
UACGUAGGGUGCAAGCGUUGUCCGGAAUUAUUGGGCGUAAAGAGCUCGUAGGCGGUGUGUCGCGUCGGUCGUGAAAACUUGGGGCUUAACCCCGGGCCUGCAGUGGGUACGGGCAGACUAGAGUGCGGUAGGGGAGACUGGAAUUCCUGGUGUAGCGGUGAAAUGCGCAGAUAUCAGGAGGAACACCAAAGGCGAAGGCAGCGUCCUGGCAAGUCACUGACGCUCAGGUGCGAAAGCUAGGGGAGCGAACGGG